UGCCUUUUAUUUUCCAAGGAUGUAUGCAUUCGGUCACAUAUAACAAAUAUUUCACAAAAUGACAGCGGAAGUCUCUACAACUAGUCUGUGCAAGACAUUAAUUCCUAGGGGGCGUCAUUAGCAUUCAGUGGAGAUCCAAAGUUAUCGUUCGUCAAUCAUUUCCUAAACGUUUCUAUUCAAUAACCCUGUUUAGCAAUUAUUCACAGACUGUGAAGUAUGAACAAUUUUAUAGAACAGAGACAGUCAUAAACCUGUCAGACGUAGACACACUCCUAUUUGGCAGGAAGCUGCAUGGACUCAAGGGAAGACAAUUUAUCCACGUGUUUUAUAGAACUGUUUGUGGCUAAUUAGAAAAAUCGCCAUUUUUAAAUUCUAAUGUGACUAAAGUGGCCAAUCCUGCAGCUUUCCUACCUUCUAUUAGAUCAACGUACACAAUUUCUUGCUCUCUCUUUCAAAAAUAAAUAAAUAAUAGACCAUAAAUCUAUCAUUUUGAUGCUAUUAUUAUUAUUAUUAUUAUUAUUAUUUAAUAUUUAGAUUGCGUCUAAAAGAAAGCGGAGGUGACGCAAGGCACAUUUUUAAAAAGUUAUUCGGGAAAAAAACAAGAAAAUGUGCUUAAAAAUACAGGAAAUCCUAUUUUUGUGCUAUUCCUAUUUGUUCCCUUACGGAAAUACUGAAAAUAAAAUACGAAUGUUGAAUAGAAAGAUUGCAUUUUUUGGUGAAUUGAGGCGUUUAGAUCAAUACUCUAUAAAAACCGUGUCUUAGGAAACACCUAAGCGGUAAGAGGAACCGAUGUACGAGCUUUCAUGCCAAUACGUUUGAUAGUUGAAGAGAUCUGUUGAUACA